rnacentral:rRNA from 1 species
UGGGGAAUAUUGGACAAUGGGCGCAAGCCUGAUCCAGCCAUGCCGCGUGUGUGAAGAAGGUCUUCGGAUUGUAAAGCACUUUAAGUUGGGAGGAAGUUCAGUAAGUUAAUACCUUGUUGAAUUGACGUUACCGACAGAAUAAGCACCGGCUAACUCUGUGCCAGCAGCCGCGGUAAUACAGAGGGUGCAAGCGUUAAUCGGAAUUACUGGGCGUAAAGCGCGCGUAGGUGGUUUUGUAAGUUGGAGGUGAAAUCCCCGGGCUCAACCUGGGAACUGCCUCCAAAACUGCAUAGCUAGAGUACGGUAGAGGGUGGUGGAAUUUCCUGUGUAGCGGUGAAAUGCGUAGAUAUAGGAAGGAACACCAGUGGCGAAGGCGACCACCUGGACUGAUACUGACACU